UACAGAGGUCUCAAGCGUUGUUCGGAAUCACUGGGCGUAAAGGGUGCGUAGGUGGCGUGGUAAGUCAGAUGUGAAAGCCCGGGGCUCAACCUCGGAAUUGCAUCCGAUACUACCAUGCUAGAGUACUGAAGAGGUGACUAGAAUUCUCGGUGUAGCAGUGAAAUGCGUAGAUAUCAGGAGGAACACCAAUGGCGAAGGCAGAUCUCUGUGCCGUAACUGACGCUGGAGGAGCGAAAGCCAUGGGGAGCGAACAGG
rnacentral:rRNA from 1 species